UUGUGUUGUAGGGGUGGGAAGAAGGUGAAGGGCUUGGGAAAGAGAAGCAAGGGAUCAAAGGAUAUGCCAGGGUUAAGGACAAAUAGGACACUGCAGGUAUUGGUGUGGAUGAACCCAAAAAUAAUUGGGCGUUUGAUACAUCACUUUUUGACAACAUCCUAAAGAGAUUGAAAGUGCAAGCAGCAAAAAUCAAGGAUGAAGGUACAUCAAGAUGAAAAUGAAUUUAGAUUGCACUUAAUAAUAUCAUGAUAGUUUGAUGUGGAUCCUCUUUGUAUGCAUCUUGCAGCUGUUGAAAAGGAUGGCAUUCAAGACGUUGAUACUGAUACCACCACAGAGACUAAUACAGUUGCCAAGUCUACUCGGCCCCAACGAAGGUCAAUAUGGUUGCCCACAUCAAUGCUAGAUCAUUUUUUUUUUUGAAAUUUAUUUACUUGUUUAUUUUUGUUUCCUUCUUUAAUAA